AAGGAUCAUUUAAUAGCAGGAUGUCCAAAUAAAAAAGGUGUACGGGCAAGGACUGGAAAUGUCCGCCAAUGUACUUACAUUCUUGUCAAACUCUAUGGUCGCCAAAUCAUUUAGUGCAAGGAUAGCGCAUUUUAUAACUUCUGAGAUCCUUACCAACUUACUACGGCAUGAAAUUAUGCAUUUAUCAUCCCCAUCUGAGAGAAGUUUUAACAUAUUCUUAUGCGCGAUUAAAUAAAAAAACUCAUAAAUCAUUCAAGUUUAUAUAGGUGGUUACCAUGAUAUUUUUAUUCCCUGGUUAAUAUACAUAUUUAUAUAUUGUAGUUUAUUACAUUUCCUACAUUCAAAUAAAUGUAAUAAUAAAAGCAAACUUGACCUAACUCCUACAUCUUAAUCUUUGUUCAUUUUAACAAUUCCUUAGUGUUGUGUAUCCAGUCGAACUAUAUCAAGGAAGGAAUGACCUCAUGAUUUCCUCUUCAAAGACGUUAUCUUAAAACAGAACUAUUGCAACAUUUAUAAAGUCAGAUCCAAAUUAAAGGAAUGGUUAUACAUACAUAUAUGAUUCGUUACAAUUGUGGAAUAUCUAAAAAUUUCUCAUAUACCAAGAAAUUCAUAA